rnacentral:rRNA from 1 species
GAUGAACGCUGGCGGCGUGCCUAAUACAUGCAAGUCGAGCGAACAGACGAGGAGCUUGCUCCUCUGACGUUAGCGGCGGACGGGUGAGUAACACGUGGAUAACCUACCUAUAAGACUGGGAUAACUUCGGGAAACCGGAGCUAAUCCCGGAUAAUAUAUUGAACCGCAUGGUUCAAUAGUGAAAGACGGUUUUGCUGUCACUUAUAGAUGGAUCCGCGCCGCAUUAGCUAGUUGGUAAGGUAACGGCUUACCAAGGCGACGAUGCGUAGCCGACCUGAGAGGGGGAUCGGCCACACUGGAACUGAGACACGGUCCAGACGCCUACGGGAGGCAGCAGUAGGGAAUCUUCCGCAAUGGGCGAAAGCCUGACGGAGCAACGCCGCGUGAGUGAUGAAGGUCUUCGGAUCGUAAAACUCUGUUAUUAGGGAAGAACAAAUGUGUAAGUAACUAUGCACGUCUUGACGGUACCUAAUCAGAAAGCCACGGCUAACUACGUG